rnacentral:tRNA from 1 species
AGUGACCAGCUCAGGUGGUAGAGUGCUCGCCUCGCAUGCCCGAGGCCCUGGGUUCAAUCCCCAGCACCA